UGCGGAAGGAUCAUUACCGAGAUAGGGGCUCCGGCCCCGAACCUCCCACCCGUGUUUACCGACCCUUGUUGCUUUGGCGGGUCCGUGCCGACCGGGACCGAUCGGUACCCCCUUAACCGGGGAGCGCCCGCCGAAAGCCUGUCCGGUACAAAUUCUUCAACGCGGUGGAGUCUGAGUGAACAGGGCAAUAAUCAAAACUUUCAACAACGGAUCUCUUGGUUCUGGCAUCGAUGAAGAACGCAGCGAAAUGCGAUAAGUAAUGUGAAUUGCAGAAUUCAGUGAAUCAUCGAAUCUUUGAACGCACAUUGCGCCCUUUGGUACUCCAAGGGGCAUGCCUGUCCGAGCGUCAUUACACCCUCAAGCCCUUGCUUGGUAUUGGGCCGACACUCCCUUGGGGGUGGGUCCGAAAGUCAUUGGCCGUCCGCAUCGGACUUCAGGCGUAGUGGUUUUCCCGCCUUGGAAGCGCCGGCCCGGGCCUGCCAGACAACAUCCACAUUCUUUCGCAUUGACCUCGGAUCA
rnacentral:rRNA from 1 species